AAUGUCUGGGAAACUGCCUGAUGGAGGGGGAGUAACUACUGGAACGGUAGCUAAUACCGCAUAACGUCGCAAGACCAAAGAGGGGGACCUUCGGGCCUCUUGCCAUCAGAUGUGCCCAGAUGGGAUUAGCUAGUAGGUGGGGUAACGGCUCACCUAGGUGACGAUCCCUAGCUGGUCUGAGAGGAUGACCAGCCACACUGGAACUGAGACACGGUCCAGACUCCUACGGGAGGCAGCAUG
rnacentral:rRNA from 1 species